rnacentral:misc_RNA from 1 species
GUCAGUUUGAAACCCUGCAAGUAAAGAAACGUGGCAAGCCAAAAAGAGAGAAAAUGAGUCUUAGCUAAAAAGUGUACCACAAAAAAUAAGCACAAAGCAAGAGAACCCACCAAUGCUUUAAAUUAAAGCCAUAUAUUGCAUAAACAAAACGUUGUGCUCACGCAAGAGAAGUAGAAAAUUAAUUAUCACCAGCAAUGAGGCAAAACAUUGUGUUACUUUAUCAUGACAGGUACAAGGACAAGACACAUCUACAGAAAUAUGCAAUGAUAGUUG